GAUGAACGCUAGCGGCAGGCCUAAUACAUGCAAGACGAACGGUAAGUUUGAUAGCAAUAUUGAACCUAGAGUGUCGUAAGGGUGCGUAACACGUAUGCAAUCUACCCUCAACAGGAGGAUAGCUCCCCGAAAGGGGAAUUAACACUCCAUAAGAUCACAGGAUGGCAUCAUUCAGUGAUUAAAACUCCGGUGGUUGAGGAUGAGCAUGCGCAUGAUUAGUUAGUUGGCGGGGUAAUGGCCCACCAAGACGAUGAUCAUUAGGGGAACUGAGAGGUUGAUCCCCCACACUGGCACUGAGAUACGGGCCAGACUCCUACGGGAGGCAGCAGUAGGGAAUAUUGGACAAUGGGUGCGAGCCUGAUCCAGCCAUGCCGCGUGCAGGAAGACGGCCUUCUGGGUUGUAAACUGCUUUUGCCAGGGGAUAAAAAGACCAUGCGUGGUCAAUUGAAGGUACCUGGUGAAUAAGCCACGGCUAACUACGUGCCAGCAGCCGCGGUAAUACGUAGGUGGCAAGCGUUGUCCGGAUUUAUUGGGUUUAAAGGGUGCGUAGGCGGUCUUAUAAGUCAGUUGUGAAAUACUUCAGCUUAACUGGAGAGGUGCAAUUGAUACUGUAAGACUUGAGUACAGACGAGGUAGGCGGAAUUGACGGUGUAGCGGUGAAAUGCUUAGAUAUCGUCAAGAACACCGAUAGCGAAGGCAGCUUACUAGACUGUAACUGACGCUGAUGCACGAAAGUGUGGGGAUCAAACAGGAUUAGAUACCCUGGUAGUCCACACUGUAAACGAUGAUUACUCGAUGUUGGCGAUACACAGCCAGCGUCUUAGCGAAAGCGAUAAGUAAUCCACCUGGGGAGUACGCCCGCAAGGGUGAAACUUAAAGGAAUUGACGGG
rnacentral:rRNA from 1 species